GUUGGCCAGCUGCCCUCAAACUAGGGGCAAUUUUGACCCCUUAGAAGAUAUUUGACCAUGUCUGGAGAUAAAGAAACAGAAGUUCAAGGAGUUAAGUAGGGCAUGCCAUGCAGCCCGGGUUUCAGCCACACUGCAAGAGGAAAGGAUUAUUCUUUAUCCAAAAUUAUUCUUGCUCUGCAGAGGGAAUCACAGUUAAAGUAACAAGCUUCCCCUGUGUAUUCUCAAGAGUUCAAGCAAGGAUUGUUUGACCAUCUCCUGGGAACACCGUUGAAAGGAUUCUUAUGUUGGCUGGGAUGUUCAUUCCAACCAGCCAUUGCUACGGUUCUUCAAAACACAGCUAAUUGCAUAAUGUAAAAUGAACCCAGUUUUUCAACUCGUUCAGCGCUCAGAUUCUAUUUGUUCUAUUAAAGACCAUAUUGACUUUGGAGAGUAAUUUGGCAGUCUUACACUACAGCAACUUUACUCCUAAUUAUAUUCUCCAGAGAACUCUCAUGUGCAAAGGAGAAAUGUAGGAUCCGUAAUGCAAAA